AGUAUGGGAGGAGGUUGCAACCGGUUGGGGCAAUAGGGAAGGGGGGUGAAAAAGAGAGGUGUUUACUCUCUUAAUGCGCAGGCGCGGGAACGAAGCCUCUAGUUCUUAAAGAGGGGGCCCGCAACUUUCAUCAGAUCUUUCAGAGGGGCUGUGACCCAAAGAAAUCCAAGGACUUAUGGAGCAAAUAGUUGUGUGAUAAUGUGAGCAGGAAACAAAUGACAAAAUGAUGGAUUCUGGAA